rnacentral:rRNA from 1 species
GAUAGAACAUUAUGCCUGGAAUGGUUUAUGUUUCAAAUGAUUUAUCGCCAUAGGAUGGGACUGCGGCCUAUCAGUUUGUUGGUGAGGUAAUGGCCCACCAAGACUAUUACAGGUACGGGCUCUGAGAGGAGUAGCCCGGAGAUGGGUACUGAGACACGGACCCAGGCCCUAUGGGGCGCAGCAGGCGAGAAAACUUUGCAAUGUGCGAAAGCACGACAAGGUUAAUCCGAGUGGUUUCUGCUAAAGAAACCUUUUGUCAGUCCUAGAAACACUAACGAAUAAGGGGUGGGCAAGUUCUGGUGUCAGCCGCCGCGGUAAAACCAGCACCUCAAGUGGUCAGGAUGAUUAUUGGGCCUAAAGCAUCCGUAGCUCGUUUUGUAAGUUUUCGGUUAAAUCCAUGCGCUUAACGUAUGGGCUGCCGGGAAUACUGCAUAACUAGGAAGUGGGAGAGGUAGACGGUACUCGGGAGGAAGGGGUAAAAUCCUUUGAUCUCUUGAUGACCACCUGUGGCGAAGGCGGUCUGCCAGAACACGUUCGACGGUGAGGGAUGAAAGCUGGGGGAGCAAACCGGAUUAGAUACCCGGGUAGUCCCAGCUGUAAACUAUGCAAACUCAGUGAUGCAUUGGCUUAUGGCCAAUGCAGUGCUGCAGGGAAGCCGUUAAGUUUGCCGCCUGGGAAGUACGUACGCAAGUAUGAAACUUAAAGGAAUUGGCGGGGGAGCACCACAAGGGGUGAAGCCUGCGGUUC